UACGUAGGGUGCAAGCGUUGUCCGGAAUUAUUGGGCGUAAAGAGCUCGUAGGCGGUCUGUCGCGUCGGAUGUGAAAACCCGGGGCUCAACUCCGGGCCUGCAGUCGAUACGGGCUGGCUUGAGUGCGGUAGGGGAGACUGGAAUUCCUGGUGUAGCGGUGAAAUGCGCAGAUAUCAGGAGGAACACCGGUGGCGAAGGCGGAUCUCUGGGCCAUUACUGACGCUGAGGAGCGAAAGCGUGGGGAGCGAACAGG
rnacentral:rRNA from 1 species